GUGUAAAGCGCAGAGAUGCGUUCCCCCGCAAGGGCACAAAGGAAGGUGCUGCAUGGCUGUCGUCAGCUCGUGUCGUGAGAUGUUGGGUUAAGUCCGCAACGAGCGCAACCCUUACCAUUAGUUACCAGCAUUCAGUUGGGGACUCUAGUGGAACUGCCGGUGAUAAACCGGAGGAAGGUGGGGAUGACGUCAAGUCAUCAUGGCCUUUAUGUCCAGGGCUACACACGUGCUACAAUGGACGGUACAGACCGUUGCAAACCCGCGAGGGGGAGCCAAUCGGAAAAAACCGUUCUCAGUUCGGAUUGUAGUCUGCAACUCGACUACAUGAAGUUGGAAUCGCUAGUAAUCGCGGAUCAGCACGCCGCGGUGAAUACGUUCCCAGGUCUUGUACACACCGCCCGUCACAUCACGAAAGUGGGCUGUACUAGAAGUGGCUGAGCUAACCCUUUGGGAGGCAGGUCACGACGGUAUGGUUCAUGAUUGGGGUGAAGUCGUAACAAGGUAAGCGUAGAUGA
rnacentral:rRNA from 1 species